UACGAAGGGGGCUAGCGUUGCUCGGAAUUACUGGGCGUAAAGGGCGCGUAGGCGGACAGUUUAGUCAGAGGUGAAAGCCCAGGGCUCAACCUUGGAAUAGCCUUUGAUACUGGCUGUCUUGAGUUCGGGAGAGGUGAGUGGAAUGCCGAGUGUAGAGGUGAAAUGCGUAGAUAUUGGGAGGAACACCAGUGGCGAAGGCGGCUCACUGGACCGGUACUGACGCUGAUGCGCGAAAGCGUGGGGAGCAAACGGG
rnacentral:rRNA from 1 species